rnacentral:rRNA from 1 species
GCUUACGGCCAUACCACCCUGAAUGCGCCUGAUCUCAGAAGCUAAGCAGGGUUAGGCCUGGUUAGUACUUGAAUGGGAGACCGCCUGGGAAUACCAGGUGUUGUAAGCU